rnacentral:rRNA from 1 species
GUAGGUGGCAAGCGUUGUCCGGAAUUAUUGGGCGUAAAGCGCGCGCAGGCGGUCCUUUAAGUCUGAUGUGAAAGCCCACGGCUCAACCGUGGAGGGUCAUUGGAAACUGGGGGACUUGAGUACAGAAGAGGAAAGCGGAAUUCCAAGUGUAGCGGUGAAAUGCGUAGAGAUUUGGAGGAACACCAGUGGCGAAGGCGGCUUUCUGGUCUGUAACUGACGCUGAGGCGCGAAAGCGUGGGGAGCAAACAGGAUUAGAUACCCUGGUAGUCCACGCCGUAAACGAUGUGUGCUAAGUGUUAGGGGGUUUCCCGCCCCCCUUAGUGCUGCAGCUAACGCAUUAAGCACUCCGCCUGGGGGAGUACGGCCGCAAGGCUG